rnacentral:rRNA from 1 species
GAUGAACGCUAGCGGCAGGCCUACCACAUGCAAGUCGAGGGGUAACUAGAGUGAUAGCAAUAUUACUUUGGCUAGACCGGCGCACGGGUGCGUAACACGUAUGCAACCUACCUUAUACUGGGGAAUAACUUCGAGAAAUCGGCGCUAAUACCCCAUAACAUUGCGAAGAGGCAUCUCUUUGCAAUUAAAGCUCCGGCGGUAUAAGAUGGGCAUGCGUCCAAUUAGCUAGUUGGUGAGGUAACGGCUCACCAAGGCUACGAUUGGUAGGGGUUCUGAGAGGAUGAUACCCCACACUGGUACUGAGACACGGACCAGACUCCUACGGGAGGCAGCAGUGAGGAAUAUUGCGCAAUGGACGAAAGUCUGACGCAGCCAUGCCGCGUGCAGGAUGACGGCCCUAUGGGAUGUAAACUGCUUUUGUACGGGAAUAAACCCUUCUACGUGUAGGAGGCUGAAGGUACCGUAAGAAUAGGCACCGGCUAACUCCGUGCCAGCCGCCGCCGUAAUAC